AACGAUUGUCCCGGGAAAAGGCGAGAGUUUAGGCUCCCUCCUUCGCGUCUUUCCCGGCACGGAGAGGAAGGACGAGAGCGAACAGCCGCAGGGGAAACGAUCUCACGGCAGCGUGCCCGUCCCUUCGUUUUGCUUUGGGGGAAUCCAGUCUUGGAAGAAGCCGCUCUUCCUUUGCUGGUCUUGGUGUUGUGGUAGAGGCCUCGCCGGCCUUGGCCUUGCCGUAAGAGACCAGACGCCACGUUAUAUUGAAUUACUCUCUGGUUUCUUCUUGGUUUAGAUGAUCCUCACUAGCCUGUGAGGCUGGAAUAUGUGUAUAAACACAGCAUAAAUUGUUUAUGUUGAUCUCCUAAACGAAUGCCUUACCUAGAUCUACUUUGGGAGCUGGAAACUUGAAUCGAUGUUAUCAGAUGAGUUAGAGUCUAAACCAGAGUUGCUGGUUCAGUUUGUUCAGAACACAUCUAUCCCACUAGGACAGGGGCUUGUGGAAUCAGAACCUAAAAAUAUUACCUGUCUAUCUCUUCUUCCUGUUACAGAAUCCCCACAAUGCAACAGGUUGAUAUUGCCAGAUGAUUCCCCAAACCAUAUUCACUCUUCCAAGCAUGCUUCUUCUUCGGCUGUUCUGCGAAGUCUCCAAGUAAAUGUUGGCCCUGAUGGUGAGGAGACAAGGGCACAAACAGUACAGAAACCACCUGACCUUCUUCCAAGUCCUGAUACUUCCACCUUAUUGCAAGAUCUUCAGCCUGGUGAUAACACUUCCUUUAUUCUCCUCAAUUUAACACGGACAGGCCUAGGGUCUUCUUCAGAACAUCUGGUAUUUGUCCAGGAUGGAGCAGUUGAUUCUGGGAACAAUUUCUUUGCGAAUAAUAGUACAGACAGCAGCACCCCAUGGUUUUUACGUGUACAAGAACUGGCUCAUGAUAGUUUGAUUGCUGCCACCCGAGCACAGCUCGCUAAGAAUGCCAAAGCAAGCAAUAAUGGAGAAAAUGUUCAUGUUUGUUCAGGAGAAUCACAGGCGAAGGAAUCCAGCCCCAUUCCUCAUCUACCCCGGGUAGAAAAAAAAUUGCAGUGCACUGUUGAAGGGUGUGAUCGAACAUUUGUAUGGCCAACUCACUUCAAAUAUCAUCUAAAAACUCACAGGAAUGAUCGCUCCUACACAUGUCCAGCAAAAGAUUGUGGGAAAAGCUUUUAUGUUUUACAAAGAUUGAAGGUGCACAUGAGAACACAUAAUGGCGAGAAACCAUUUAUUUGCUCUGAACUAGGCUGUGGAAAGCAAUUCACAACAGCUGGGAAUCUGAAGAAUCAUCUGCGAAUUCACACUGGGGAAAAGCCUUUUUUAUGUGAGGCGCAGGGCUGUGGUCGUUCCUUUGCUGAAUAUUCCAGCCUUCGGAAACACCUAGUUGUCCAUUCAGGACUAAAGCCACACCAAUGUCAAAUUUGUGGGAAGACAUUUUCUCAGAGUGGUAGUAGAAAUGUACACAUGAAGAAACAUCAUUCGAGGGUUGAAACAAUUAGCAAUAGGCAGCAUGAGCAAACAGAAUCACUGAUGGGCAGCAGUUUGUUGGAAGAAUCUGAAUUAGACAGUAAGAGCCUGGUGUCAAUGAAUUCUCCAUCUAGCCUUGUUGAAUCUUUGCAUUUGCCAGAUCCGGAAUCAAUCAUUGGUGUAAAAGAAGAGGUUCUAGCUGAAGCAGGAGUAAAUUCUCUCCAUGAUGUAUCUGAUGUGGUUUUGCCAUCUCAUCAUCUGAUGCCUAUGUCAACAUCAAGGCACUCUUACGGCGUAUCAUCCUUACUACAAUAAAUUCUUAGGUCUGAAGGUUUCUGUUUUGAAAAACAUAGUGCUAGUCCCUUUAAUUUCAGAAAACAUUUGCUCCUUCUAUGAUUGAAGUACUUUGUGUAGUCCCUUUCUGGCUUGGUAUUCUGAACUGGGGAAGGGAUCUUUUAUUUUUCCCCCAAGAACUGAAAUUGGAAUCUUCUAGCCCCCUUUCUGAAAGAGUGGGAAGACAUACCCACUUCAGAAUGCUGUAUCCUCACUGUAGAAGAAGGAUCUUUAUGUUACAGAAGAACAGCAAAUCUGUGACACUGAAUAUAUGAUACUAUAUGAAGCUAAAGAACAGGCUUUUCAAGUUGUUUGACAUUUAAAUUCCUGGAAUUUGUGCAGUAUCUCCAGUGUACUUCUUAUGACAUGGUGGAGCAGAAGCCUGGACUAUGUUUUUGCUUCAGUCAGUGAAAAAAACUUUGUUUUCUAAGAGAGGAUGGAACAGCAGCUAUUAAUUAUGGAGUUAAUAUUUAACCUGGUGUCCAAAAGCCAGGAGAUAAUGUUCUUGUACUUAGUUUAAAGCCAGAUUUUUUUUUCUUUUUUGAAGUGACCAUAAGCUUAACAUUAUAUUGGCUUGUUUUUGGAGAAAUAUCUUUUAAGUAGUAAUAAAUUCUGCACCACGGUGUGGCAGUUCUGGUUUUGCUUCUUAUUUAUAGGGGCAGUUGGUGAUAAUCUUUCAUCGAGAACUUUUGCCUUCCCAUGCUUUGUGUGGAUAUGUUCACUAACAUUGCUUUCGGUCCAAUCUGAAGAUCUCAUACUAUUCAGAGUAUUGCUUAGGUCACACUUGCUUCUUGCUGUGAUAUUUUAAUUUCUAAUUAUUAGGUUUAAUAGAUAUUUUUUGUUUUUAAAAAAAUCAAAGGUAGAAAUUAUUCAGUGGCAUUCUGUUGUAAAUAAACUACAUAUUUCCAUUCUCA